UACGGGGGGGGCAAGCGUUGUUCGGAAUUACUGGGCGUAAAGGGCUCGUAGGCGGCCAACUAAGUCGGAUGUGAAAUCCCCAGGCUCAACCUGGGAACUGCAUCCGAUACUGGAUGGCUUGAAUUCGGGAGAGGGAUGCAGAAUUCCAGGUGUAACGGUGAAAUGCGUAGAUAUCUGGAGGAAUACCGGUGGCGAAGGCGGCAUCCUGGACCGACAUUGACGCUGAUGAGCGAAAGCUAGGGGAGCAAACGGG
rnacentral:rRNA from 1 species